CCUACGGGUGGCUGCAGUGGGGAAUAUUGGACAAUGGGGGGAACCCUGAUCCAGCCAUGCCGCGUGUGUGAAGAAGGCCCUCGGGUUGUAAAGCACUUUCAGUGAGGAAGAACGCCUGGUGGUUAAUACCCAUCAGGAAAGACAUCACUCACAGAAGAAGCACCGGCUAACUCCGUGCCAGCAGCCGCGGUAAUACGGAGGGUGCGAGCGUUAAUCGGAAUUACUGGGCGUAAAGCGCGCGUAGGUGGCUUGAUAAGCCGGUUGUGAAAGCCCCGGGCUCAACCUGGGUACGGCAUCCGGAACUGUCAAGCUAGAGUGCAGGAGAGGAAGGUAGAAUUCCCGGUGUAGCGGUGAAAUGCGUAGAGAUCGGGAGGAAUACCAGUGGCGAAGGCGGCCUUCUGGACUGACACUGACACUGAGGUGCGAAAGCGUGGGUAGCAAACAGGAUUAGAUACCCCAGUAGUC
rnacentral:rRNA from 1 species